GUAGGGCGCGAGCGUUGUCCGGAUUUAUUGGGCGUAAAGAGCUCGUAGGCGGUCCAUUGCGUCUGCCGUGAAAACCUGCAGCUUAACUGUGGGCUUGCGGUUGAUACGGGUGGGCUGGAGUUCGGUAGGGGAGACUGGAAUUCCUGGUGUAGCGGUGAAAUGCGCAGAUAUCAGGAGGAACACCGGUGGCGAAGGCGGGUCUCUGGGCCGAUACUGACGCUGAGGAGCGAAAGCGUGGGGAGCGAACAGGAUUAGAUACCCUGGUAGUCCACGCUGUAAACGUUGGGCGCUAGGUGUGGGGGGCCUCUCCGGUUUCCUGCGCCGUAGCUAACGCAUUAAGCGCCCCGCCUGGGGAGUACGGCCGCAAGGCUAAA
rnacentral:rRNA from 1 species